rnacentral:rRNA from 1 species
CGGCGAACUAUGUGCCAGCAGCCGCGGUAAUACAUAGGUGGCAAGCGUUAUCCGGAUUUAUUGGGCGUACAGGGUGCGUAGGCGGUUGUGUAAGUUUGAGGUUAAAUCCCGGAGCUCAACUCCGGUCCGCCUUGAAAACUACAUGACUAGAAUGCAAGAGAGGUAAACGGAAUUCCAUGUGUAGCGGUAAAAUGCGUAGAUAUAUGGAAGAACACCUGUGGCGAAAGCGGUUUACCAGCUUGUUAUUGACGCUGAGGCACGAAAGCGUGGGGAGCAAAUAGGAUUAGAUACCCUAGUAGUCCACGCCGUAAACGUUGAGUACUAGGUGUCGGGAAUUAUCUCGGCGCCGCAGCUAACGCAUUAAGUACUCCGCCUGAGUAGUAUGCACGCAAGUGUGAAACUCAAAGGAAUUGACGGGGACCCGCACAAGUGGUGGAGCAUGUGGUUUAAUUCGAAGCAACACGAAGAACCUUACCAGGGCUUGACAUCCAGUGCAAAGGCAUAGAGAUAUGCUGGAGGCUAACAUUGAGACAGGUGGUGCAUGGUUGUCGUCAGUUCGUGCCGUGAGGUGUUUGGUUAAGUCCAGCAACGAACGCAACCCUUGUCAUUAGUUACUAACAUUCAGUUGAGGACUUUAAUGAGACUGCUAGUGUAAGCUAGAGGAAGGUGGGGAUGACGUCAAAUCAUCAUGCCCCUUAUGUCCUGGGCUACACACGUGCUACAAUGGCUGAUACAAAGAGUCGCAAUCUCGCAAGGAGGAGCUAAUCUCAUAAAAUCAGUCUCAGUUCGGAUUGAAGGCUGC